CCUACGGGGGGCAGCAGUGAGGAAUAUUGGUCAAUGGACGAGAGUCUGAACCAGCCAAGUAGCGUGAAGGAUGACUGCCCUAUGGGUUGUAAACUUCUUUUAUAUGGGAAUAAAACGUUCCACGUGUGGGGUUUUGUAUGUACCAUAUGAAUAAGGAACGGCUAACUCCGUGCCAGCAGCCGCGGUUAUACGGAGGAUCCGAGCGUUAUCCGGAUUUAUUGGGUUUAAAGGGAGCGUAUGUGGAUUGUUAAGGCAGUUGUGAAAGUUUGCGGCUCAACCGUAAAAUUGCAGUUGAAACUGGCAGUCUUGAGUACAGUAGAGGUGGGCGGAAUUCGUGGUGUAGCGGUGAAAUGCGUAGAUAUCACGAAGAACGCCGAUUGCGAAGGCAGUUCACUGGACUGCAACUGACACUGAGGCUCGAAAGUGUGGGUAUCGAACAGGAUUAGAUACCCCUGUAGUC
rnacentral:rRNA from 1 species